rnacentral:rRNA from 1 species
CUAAGUUUGAUGGCGACCGGCGCACGGGUGAGUAACACGUAUCCAACCUGCCGAUGACUCGGGGAUAGCCUUUCGAAAGAAAGAUUAAUACCCGAUGGCAUAGUUCUUCCGCAUGGUGGAACUAUUAAAGAAUUUCGGUCAUCGAUGGGGAUGCGUUCCAUUAGGUUGUUGGCGGGGUAACGGCCCACCAAGCCUUCGAUGGAUAGGGGUUCUGAGAGGAAGGUCCCCCACAUUGGAACUGAGACACGGUCCAAACUCCUACGGGAGGCAGCAUGG